GGUAAACGCUGGCGGCGUGCCUAAAACAUGCAAGUCGAACGGGCAGUCUUCGGACUGUCAGUGGCAGACGGCUGAGUAACGCGUGGGUGACGUACCGAUUGGUGGGGAAUAACUGCCCGAAAGGGUGGCUAAAUCCGCAUACGCCUGCUUCAUCAGUGAAGGAGGGAAAGUUGCAAGACGCCGAUCGAGCGGCCCGCGUCCGAUUAGCCAGUUGGUGGGGUAACGGCCUACCAAAGCGACGAUCGGUAGCUGGUCUUAGAGGAUGAUCAGCCAGACU
rnacentral:rRNA from 1 species